rnacentral:ncRNA from 1 species
GACUUGCUACGGUCGAGAACAACCCGACGAGACGCGCCGUACCGGGCCCCGCAAAGACGACGCACC